rnacentral:rRNA from 1 species
CCUGGCGGCGAGUGGCGAACGGGUGAGUAAUACAUCGGAACGUGCCCAAUCGUGGGGGAUAACGCAGCGAAAGCUGUGCUAAUACCGCAUACGAUCUACGGAUGAAAGCAGGGGAUCGCAAGACCUUGCGCGAAUGGAGCGGCCGAUGGCAGAUUAGGUAGUUGGUGAGGUAAAGGCUCACCAAGCCUUCGAUCUGUAGCUGGUCUGAGAGGACGACCAGCCACACUGGGACUGAGACACGGCCCAGACUCCUACGGGAGGCAGCAGUGGGGAAUUUUGGACAAUGGGCGAAAGCCUGAUCCAGCCAUGCCGCGUGCAGGAUGAAGGCCUUCGGGUUGUAAACUGCUUUUGUACGGAACGAAACGGCCUUUUCUAAUAAAGAGGGCUAAUGACGGUACCGUAAGAAUAAGCACCGGCUAACUACGUGCCAGCAGCCGCGGUAAUACGUAGGGUGCAAGCGUUAAUCGGAAUUACUGGGCGUAAAGCGUGCGCAGGCGGUUAUGUAAGACAGUUGUGAAUCCCCGGGCUCAACCUGGGAACUGCAUCUGUGACUGCAUAGCUAGAGUACGGUAGAGGGGGAUGGAUUCCGCGUGUAGC